UACGAAGGGGGCUAGCGUUGCUCGGAAUCACUGGGCAUAAAGGGUGCGUAGGCGGGUCUUUAAGUCAGAGGUGAAAUCCUGGAGCUCAACUCCAGAACUGCCUUUGAUACUGAGGAUCUUGAGUUCGGGAGAGGUGAGUGGAACUGCGAGUGUAGAGGUGAAAUUCGUAGAUAUUCGCAAGAACACCAGUGGCGAAGGCGGCUCACUGGCCCGAUACUGACGCUGAGGCGCGAAAGCGUGGGGAGCAAACAGG
rnacentral:rRNA from 1 species